rnacentral:lncRNA from 1 species
UAUGUGAUUUCUGGGAUAGCAAAAGUUGGCUAUUAAGCUAAGUAUUGUGUCUACAACACAUUUGAAAUGAUAGAUCAAGAAAAGCUUUGUUUUUUUGAAGCUCCCAAAUGUAGUUAUGUGUCAUUAUUCAUUGUGGAGAAACUAGAAACUAUUGCCUCACGAAGGGUAAGAGCAUGUAAAUGAGCUACCGUAGUUGGAAAGGGAUUGUCAAAGAAUGAAGAGGCGCAAGAAUUGGCUUUGCAACAUUUGCUUAAGGCUGUAACCUCUUGAUUUUAUUUUUUUUGAUAUCUUUCAUUCUUAAUAACAGUAGAUUUCUUA